GUGACCGCGAACAUCGUUUGCGAGUUGCGACCUACCCGAAGCCACCGGCCCGCCGGCGCCGACCCCGUCCUCAUCGCCGGCGCACCUCGUCGGCAACCGGCGCGAUUAAUUUCGCCUACAUUUUGGCCUCUACUGGAUAAUCACCAAUAGGUGCUUAGCUCUGCAUCUCUCCGCCUCCUCCACCAUUGACCUCCGCAAGAACCGAACAGCAAGCGACCUACGAAAAGGUUCUGUAGACAGCAAUCUGCCAUUGUGUGAGGUCAAACCUCAUGCCAUCCUGGCAUCCUUGUUAUACAUCCUGGGCGAUACAAAGGCGGUUGUUUUACAAACAGUGAACAACCUGGAAGAGUUCCAAAAUCAGGGGCUUGGCAACUGAUGGACAAAAAAUCAGAUUGUGUUUGGUGGAUAUCUGAAAUUCUGGAUGCCUCGGCUGUCCGUGUCUGAUCAUCAGAAGUACAAAAUCCUGUAUCGGUGUAAACUAGCACUCGGUUUGCCGUUUGCAUCAAGUGUUUAAAUUAAUAUUCCUCUUAACUGAAAGCUACAGUUACUAACUUGCAGAUGGCAACACGGCAAAUGGCACGCCAAGUGUGAAUUGCUGUUGCACUGGGAUGAUCCCAUUCAGCCACAUACCAGCGGUUUACAAUUAACUGCUCUAUAAGAUAAUGCCACCAAAAAGAUGAACAGAGCGUCAGCAAGCAUCAGACCCGGCCACCGGUGUCGUGGACGUUUAAAAGUCAGCGUGCCACAAUCUUCCCUAUGCUCCCUACCUUCAUUUUCCUAGCUACUUUCUAAUGGUGACAUUGAUCUGAUCGUGUCAUCACCAUCCACAUACUAUUUUAUUAUUGUCAGUAUCAAAGAAGUAAAAUCAUAUCAUCUUCUGGAACCGUUUCCUGUUUGGCUGUAUUGCCGAUUUUGCAGGACAGGUCUGUACUUUACUGCCAUUUUUUUUUUCUGUUGAGA